rnacentral:rRNA from 1 species
CUACGUGCCAGCAGCCGCGGUAAUACGUAGGUGGCAAGCGUUGUCCGGAAUUAUUGGGCGUAAAGCGCGCGCAGGCGGAUCAGUCAGUCUGUCUUAAAAGUUCGGGGCUUAACCCCGUGAUGGGAUGGAAACUGCUGAUCUAGAGUAUCGGAGAGGAAAGUGGAAUUCCUAGUGUAGCGGUGAAAUGCGUAGAUAUUAGGAAGAACACCAGUGGCGAAGGCGACUUUCUGGACGAAAACUGACGCUGAGGCGCGAAAGCCAGGGGAGCGAACAGGAUUAGAUACCCUGGUAGUCCACGCCGUAAACGAUGAGUGCUAGGUGUUAGACCCUUUCCGGGGUUUAGUGCCGCAGCUAACGCAUUAAGCACUCCGCCUGGGGAGUACGACCGCAAGGUUGAAACUCAAAGGAAUUGACGGGGGCCCGCACAAGCGGUGGAGCAUGUGGUUUAAUUCGAAGCAACGCGAAGAACCUUACCAGGUCUUGACAUCCCUCUGACCGCUCUAGAGAUAGAGUUUUCCUUCGGGACA